GGAAAAACAGCCGGCGUUCUUAGCCUCUGAGCCAUCUCUCCAGCCCCAUAGUAACUGUGUCUUAAGGGUCUGGAUGGAGACUGUGAACCCACUUGAUGUAGAUGAGUAAGUCAGGCUGUGUCUCGAUGCGGAUAAUGACACCCCUCUCCUCUGUGUAGUAGUGAAGUGAUGGUCAUCCCCAGGACAAAGCCACUUGUCUCAGUGAUGGCCCGAGGCAGCAUAUCCAUGGCAUACUUGUUAUCCAGAAGAAAGCCCAAGCUCCUGCUUGAAGAAGUUGUACUGUCGACUCUACAGGAGGAACACUG
rnacentral:lncRNA from 1 species